rnacentral:lncRNA from 1 species
AGAAAAGAGACAAAGGCCUGGUUGCUGGAGGAUCGUGGAGUGAUUCAGAUAAUGACUCAAAUGCAGACUCCGGAGAUGAGGAAGAACCACACAUGGCCAAUCUGUGCUUAAUGGCCAAACAUGCAAAGGACAAACAAAGCCUAAACAUACAUGAUGUAAGUCUCGAUGAGGUAUUUGAUUUUAAUUCUCCUGAUGUAGAUAUAAGUGAC